rnacentral:rRNA from 1 species
CUACGGGAGGCUGCAGUGGGGAAUAUUGGACAAUGGGGGAAACCCUGAUCCAGCAAUGCCGCGUGUGUGAAGAAGGCCUGCGGGUUGUAAAGCACUUUCGGUUGGGAGGACUGCUUCUAGCACUAAUAUUGUUGGAAGUUGACGUUACCUUCAGAAGAAGCACCGGCUAACUCCGUGCCAGCAGGCCGCGGUAAUACGGAGGGUGCAAGCGGUAAUCGGAAUUACUGGGCGUAAAGCGCGCGUAGGCGGCUAGAUCAGUCGGGUGUGAAAGCCCCGGGCUUAACCUGGGAACUGCAUCCGAUACUGUCUAGCUUGAGUACAGGAGAGGAGAGUGGAAUUCCACAUGUAGCGGUGAAAUGCGUAGAUAUGUGGAGGAACACCAAUGGCGAAGGCAGCUCUCUGGCCUGAUACUGAUGCUGAGGUGCGAAAGCGUGGGGAGCAAACAGGAUUAGAUACCCCUGUAGUC